rnacentral:lncRNA from 1 species
GGGACGCAGGUCGGACAGAUGGAAAAGUUGCUUUCUGUCUUCCUCCUGAGGAGCUUUGCAGCUUGGGACAACAAGCAGUGUUGUCCUAAUUAAGAUUGGAGGACUGGGCAUUUGCACUCCCAUGUGACCAGCCUUUGGAUGCAAGCUGCCUCCAGGAAGUGGGUGUACAUGUGGGUGGAGCAGCUUCCUCUGACAGAGGAAAUGACACACCUCUGACACUUUGCAAUGCUUGGAAAGUGUCUCAGGUGUGAGUUGGUGGAGCCUGCACUCCCAGCAGCUAAGGUGACAAGCGUUUUUCGGUUCUGCCAGGGGAUCUGAGUGGCACACAACAACAUCCACUAUGAAAUGUGGUGUGUGCUGGGUGGGGGCUGACUGAGGAGCUCGAGAGUAGGAGUGAGGCAGGCUAUUUUAAAGAGGUGGCAAGGGAAGGCCUCUCUGAGCAAAGGCAGAGACUUUAGGCAAAGACUUGAUUGGUGUGAGGAAGUGAGCCAUUCAAAGUCAAGGGCACCAGAGGUUCUAAGCAGAGGAAACAGCAAAUGCAAAGCAGAGAACAAGCUUGGCACAUUUGAGAACCAACAAUAAGUCCAGUGUGUCUGGAGCCACAGGAGUCAAGGAGACAGCAGCUGGCAGUUCAGCCAAUGGGCUACCAGGAAACCAGAUGGCAGAGAGCCUGGUAGACCACGGUAGAAGCAUAUGGGAAACUGCAUUCCGAUCCAGGGAAGUAUAGGAAGCAGUAAUAAAAGUGGGAAGACCUAUUAUAAGUUCGUUGCAGUCAUCCAGCUGCUGAUUUUCUCUCGAGGGCUCACCCCCCUGGACUCUGGGUGGUCCUGGGAGGAUGUGAACCCUGUACCCUGACUCCCAUCACUGAGGCCAAGAGUCUGGACCCCUCCUCCUCCUCCUGCCCCAGCACAGCAGGGAACCCGGCAGGACAGCUGUCCUCUAGGACUCUUGAGUUCACUCACUUCAGCCACCAAGCGCUGACUGUGUUUCCACCAAAGGGCAGUUCCUGCGGCUUCUACUCCCCCUCUCCAAGGUGCCAGGGUUACUGCCUGUCCUCCAGCCUUCCAUGGCAUCACUGUCUCUCCAGAUCAUCUCAUUCAAUUCUCUCAUUGCUCCAGUGAGCCUGGAUGGUUUUCUGUUGCCGACAACAAAAAACCCCAACUGAUACCAUUCCCCUUCCCCAAGGUCACUUACCCAGGGCAAGGUCCAGCCUGAGAUUUGAGUUCCUACUGAGUCCCCUACAGGGGCACAGCUAUGAGCUGAAUUGUGCCUCUCUCCAGGUUCAUUCCUAACCCCUGAGACCUCAGAAUGGGACAGUAUUUGGACACACGGUCUUUCUUGAGCUAAUACAGGUUAAAUAGUUUACUGAGGGGAUCCUCAUCCAAUACAACUGGUGUCCUUAUAAGAGGAAAUUGGGACACACAUUAGUGUGCAGUGGGAAGUCCAUGUGAGGACGGACAAAGAAGCUUGGCCAUCCACAAGCCCAGGAGAGAGACUCAGAACAAAUCAAUCUGCGGACACCUUGAUCUUGGGCUUCUAGCCUCCAGAACUGUGAGAAAAUACAUUUCUGUUGGGUAAGCGGCCCAGCCUGUGGUCCUUUGUCACGGCAGCCCUGGCAGACGAAUGCAGGCCGCACUUCCCACCGCCAUGGUGCCACUGUCUGUGGACAGCAUGCCAGCCUCAUCGCACGAGUUAUCCCUGAAGAUGCUCAAAUUAGCAGGCUGUUCUUAGAACCAAAUUUCCUGGACAGGCUUCAGAAAACAUUCUCCCUGGUGAUACAGACAUCUGAAAACACACACACACACACACACACCCAAGAAAACAAAAAACAAACAAAAAUGCCAAAAACAAAUAAAAAACCCAUGACCAAAAAAUGGACCUUUGUCCCCUUUCAUUUCUUUAGUAAUGGACAGCGCCCAGGAGAGCAGGAUAGACGGCUCCUUGGAGAAAGCAGAAUCUUCUUAAUAAACAAAUGAGAAUUUA